AUGGGAAUUCAGUCUUUGGUGCUGGUGAAGGUGUUGUGUGGCUGAACAAAGUCGAGUGCAGAGGGAAUGAGAUUCACCUGUGGGACUGUCCUCUCUCCCUGAAAAACCACACUGACUGCUCCCACAAUGAGCACGCUGGACUCACCUGUGCAGAUUUUACAGAUGUUCCAGUGUCCUCUACUCCUGCCACAACAACAUCAGCUUCUCCUCCAGUGCGCUCAACAUCAGUCUCUCCUCCACAAAUUCCUCCAGCAGCGACUCUCUCCGUCCCCCCAGUGCUUGUGAUUGUACUGGGAGUUGUGCCCUUACUGUUCUUAGUGCCACUGCUUAUACUGAUUCAGCAGAACAGAGUGAUGAGGAGAGCUCUCUCUAAGAGGAGACACAGGACGAUGACUGAGGCCGUUUAUGAGGAGAUUCAGCACAGACACAAUCACUUCACUCAGAGGGGUGAGUAGCUGUCAUAGUGUCUGAUGUGUUGAGAUCAACAGGGUAUUACUUUAUUCAGAGUGUUGAGUGGAGUAAAUCACAUUGAUUAAUUUGUGCCCUUACCAGUUAACCACGUUUUAUAAUAGUGUAGUAAAGAAAGCAUGGUCCCUUUAAGCCUAUUCACGCUGUUCAUUCUGUUCCCAUUCCUAUUGGCUGUUAGUUACAUCAAUCAGAGGGUAUGUGCUGAGUUACGUGUGUAUGGAGAUUUUUUUUUAGCAGUAGUAGAGGUUGCUCACAUGCUCAUUGCAUGGUCGGAAAAGCUGCUGUUCUGUGCCGGAGCAAGAGCACCAAUCAGCGGGAACAGUGAAAUGCAAACUGUGUGUUUAUACCACUUGUACUGUUGGUGAGUGAACUGUGCAACUAACGUGUUCAAGAAGUUAAGUAAACGCUAUGGAAAAGAUCCUUUUGUCAUGGCUCAUUCCUCCCACUCAUCCACAUAGGCAAACACAUAAACGAAACUAACUGCACGCACGACAACUGGUGUCAGAAGUAGGAUUUCAUCUGGAAAGUAUGAAAUGAGAGAAAAGUUGGACACUGGCGAAACAGCACAUACGGCGGAAGCGGAUUAGAAGUACGAUAAUUUUAUAGCGCUCUUUUCAGGGUGAGACACAAGCAGGCUGACGUCAUCGCACCCAAUGAGAACUGUGUUGACUCAAGUACAGAGUGAAUUGCCAGAGAAAAGAGAUUUGAAUGCUCCAAGAGAACAUCUGUAAAGUUUGAAAUGAAAAAGAAAAAAAAAAGAAAGAAAAUAUAAAAGAGAAAAUAAGACAUGUCUCAGGAAGAUUUGUGUCAUGGAGCUAUGGCAGCAGCCCCUGAUUCCAACCAACCCCCAGACUGGCUUUAAGACAAUGCUCGAAAACCAAAAUAUAAAUAAUGAGCAACUGCAAAUGAUGAUGGCUCCACUAUUGACUCAUAUCACAAGUUGUUCUCCAGCCCCACAAACAUCAAUGUUCACUGCACCCAGAGGUUACACACGCAAGAGCUCCCAGCCAACUGUCAGGGAAAGGAGGAUGCCUUAUUCAGAUUCAACCCUCCUUCAAGAUUAUACUGAAAGGUCACGCAACAUCACAGGUGGGCCAUUCGCUGCAAAGCUAGAAGUAAUAAAACAAAGCUAACCCCUCCACCGAGACUGGCACAAUGCAACAAAACACUGAGCUUGGC